UUUUAGCCCCGAUUGAAGCGGAAAGCUACGAAGCGAAAAAAACUAAUUUUUCUUGCAACAACAGAGCGACCAAAGGAAGCUCCUGUUGUUGUUUAGAAAAAUAGUUUUUUGAGUGAGUACUUGUAGCGUAAAGCGGGAUUGGCU
rnacentral:sRNA from 2 species